rnacentral:autocatalytically_spliced_intron from 1 species
UUUAGCCGGAUGAAAGGAAACUUUCACGUCCGAUUUUUAGGGGGGGGGGGUUUAGAAAAUCCUUGUUUUAAUUAUUCGACCCAUU